rnacentral:tRNA from 1 species
GCUCUGUGGUCUGUCGGUUAGGAGCUCUGGCUCGAGACCGGUAGGUCCUGAGUUCGAAUCUCGCGAGUGCGG